UCUACGGCUUUUCUGGAGAGUAAGAACCCGAACCUAUUCCGACUUCGCUCUGUGCCCCUUUCUUUCGCCCUCUGUACUGAGUCUACCCGGGAGACGUGUCUCAGAGUUUAUCUUAUAGU